CACAUACACUGUUUAUGCUAGGAAGCCUGAAUUCUAGUAUAAGAAGAUGAGUUUUCUGAAUUAACAGGUGAUGCCUUCUUGAGAUCUAGACAGUCUUUCCUCUGAUAAAAAGAACAUCAGCGGGUUGAGGAAACGGUACAAAAGCUGGAGGCUGAGCUGGCCGUGCUGCUCGAUACCAUCCAGGCUCGUGAAUGGAGCUCCCUACUGAUCAGUGACACUGCUGGACCUGCAGUAGACAUACUGGAUGAAAGCAAUGUCCCUCCACCCUCUUGAGAUCAAGCAAGACAGAGAAAGAAAGUCAGCUUGCCUGCUACUCCUAUACUGCUGCUCCGAACCACACAGACCAGACUGGUUGUGAUCAGGUGGGCAGAUUCACUGCUGUGGCUUCCAGACUCUGCUUCUCCAGUCUACAGUCUUCUUUCAAGACCAAACUAGAAUCCAAGGACAUACGCUUUCUUUCAAUACCUCUCCUCUUGCUAGCUUUUCUUUUCUUUUUUUUUUUUUAAAUAGAAUUUUAAAGUGACCUUGAGCAUUAGGAUUAUGCUUUAUGAAUACAAAUUGUUAUAACAUACAGAGUGUACUAACAUAACGCUCUGAUAAAAAAAAGAAGAAAAAAAAGGAAGCAAUGUUCCAGGAUAACCGAAGACACACUCUUACAGUUUAAUCAGAUUUCUGAAGUUGCAUGUUGAUUCCUUAUGAACAGACAGAGCCAGUGCCCUUAAACAUUUUAUUAUUAUUAUUAUUUUCAGCAUCAUUAAAACAAACUAUGGGAUGCCAAAAUUUAAACAGAGUCUAUUGAUACAUAUCAUGCCAUCCACAAUUAUUGAAGACGAUGCUUUGCUUUGUAGAGUCGAACAUCUUCAGCUGAUAACACAGUCCUAGAGUAUGAAAAUUGGAUGGCAAUACAGAGCACUGAUGUCACUGGUGAAAAAUGCGGUCAUCAUCCCAAUUCUUAAGAGUCUUCAUUUCAAUGGCGGAUGUGUAUGGCAAAGCAACAUAGCAACAACCAUAUGCCUUCCCCCAAAACACCCCAUUCUAGUCUUUGUAAAUAGGGGUACAUGCAAAAAAUGUCAAUGUUUAUUCAAUAUGCUAUUGGUAUCAGUAUAGUAAUCAAUAACUUACAGUGAAUUAAUGUCCACUUGAGGCUAACAGUAGAAUUAAUGUUUAAUUCCAGAAACAUUCCAUGUUAUUUUUUUUUUUUUACUUACCACAAUAAAUGCUUCUUUACAAAUUA
ensembl:lncRNA